UUACAGUCAUAACACGUUGAAGCACCGGUUCUCGUACGAUCAGCGAAGUUAAGUAACGUCGAGCCUGGUCAGUACCUAGAUGGGUGAGCUCUUGGGAAUAACAGGUGUUGUAAG